rnacentral:rRNA from 1 species
UACAGAGGUCCCAAGCGUUGUUCGGAAUUACUGGGCGUAAAGCGUGCGUAGGCGGCGGGGUAAGUCGGGUGUGAAAUCUCAGGGCUCAACCCUGAAAUUGCAUUCGAUACUGCUUCGCUUGAGCUCUGAAGAGGAGGUUGGAAUUUACGGUGUAGCAGUGAAAUGCGUAGAUAUCGUAAGGAAGGCCGGUGGCGAAAGCGAACCUCUGGGCAGCAGCUGACGCUGUGGCACGAAGGCUAGGGGAGCAAACAGG